rnacentral:rRNA from 1 species
GACGAACGCUGGCGGCGUGCUUAACACAUGCAAGUCGAACGGAAAGGCCCCCUUGUGGGGUACUCGAGUGGCGAACGGGUGAGUAACACGUGAGUAACCUACCCUUGACUUUGGGAUAACUUCAGGAAACUGGGGCUAAUACCGGAUAGGAGCUCCUGCUGCAUGGUGGGGGUUGGAAAGUUUCGGCGGUUGGGGAUGGACUCGCGGCUUAUCAGCUUGUUGGUGGGGUAGUGGCUCACCAAGGCUGUGACGGGUAGCCGGCCUGAGAGGGUGACCGGCCACAUUGGGACUGAGAUACGGCCCAGACUCCUACGGGAGGCAGCAGUGGGGAAUAUUGCACAAUGGGCGGAAGCCUGAUGCAGCAACGCCGCGUGCGGGAUGACGGCCUUCGGGUUGUAAACCGCUUUCGCCUGUGACGAAGCGUGAGUGACGGUAAUGGGUAAAGAAGCACCGGCUAACUACGUG